AGAGUUUGAUCCUGGCUCAGGAUGAACGCUAGCGGCAGGCUUAACACAUGCAAGUCGAGGGGCAGCGCGUCGUAGCAAUACGAUGGCGGCGACCGGCGGAAGGGUGCGUAACGCGUGAGCAACUUGCCCGUCACAGGGGGAUAACCGGUGGAAACGCCGACUAACACCCCGUAACACAUUUCGCCGCAUGGCGAGAUGUUGAAAACUCCGGUGGUGACGGAUAGGCUCGCGUGCCAUUAGCUAGUCGGCGGGGCAACGGCCCACCGAGGCGACGAUGGCUAGGGGUUCUGAGAGGAAGGCCCCCCACACUGGGACUGAGACACGGCCCAGACUCCUACGGGAGGCAGCAGUGAGGAAUAUUGGACAAUGGAGGCAACUCUGAUCCAGCCAUGCCGCGUGAAGGACUAAGGCCCUAUGGGCUGUAAACUUCUUUAGACGCAGAGCAAUAAGGGCCACGCGUGGUCCGAUGAGAGUAUGCGUAGAAUAAGCAUCGGCUAACUCCGUGCCAGCAGCCGCGGUAAUACGGGGGAUGCGAGCGUUAUCCGGAUUCAUUGGGUUUAAAGGGUGCGUAGGCGGCUUUGCAAGUCAGCGGUGAAAGGCCCGGGCUCAACCCGGAAAGUGCCGUUGAUACUGUGAGGCUGGAAUGCGGAUGCUGUGGGAGGAAUGAGUGGUGUAGCGGUGAAAUGCAUAGAUAUCACUCAGAACACCGAUUGCGAAGGCAUCUCACAAAUCCGCAAUUGACGCUGAGGCACGAAAGCGUGGGGAUCGAACAGGAUUAGAUACCCUGGUAGUCCACGCAGUAAACGAUGAUGACUAACCGCCGGGUUUACGGACUCGGUGGCCAAGCGAAAGCGAU
rnacentral:rRNA from 1 species